rnacentral:pre_miRNA from 1 species
UCCCUGAGAUCAUAAUAUGCCUGAGAUUUGAACGCAAACCGGUAGAUUAUUGUCUCAGAGUAA